UACGGGGGGGGCAAGCGUUGUUCGGAAUUACUGGGCGUAAAGGGCUCGUAGGCGGCCAACUAAGUCGGAUGUGAAAUCCCCAAGCUUAACUUGGGAACUGCAUCCGAUACUGGAUGGCUUGAAUCCGGGAGAGGGAUGCAGAAUUCCAGGUGUAGCGGUGAAAUGCGUAGAUAUCUGGAGGAAUACCAGUGGCGAAGGCGGCCUUCUGGACUGACACUGACGCUGAGGCGCGAAAGCCAGGGGAGCAAACGGG
rnacentral:rRNA from 1 species